CGCUAUGGUCAGCAAUGGCGAUAUAUUUUUAAUUUCAUCAAUUCGAUUAACAAUAAAACGUCACAAAGGCAAGAAAUCAAAAGAAAAAUAUGCAAUCACGCUGAAAAUAUUUGCAUACGCCCAAACCCCCGAAACUCUCCGUUUUUUUCAACCGGAAACGGAAGUAAACAAUGGCCAGCGACCCGGCGCAAAAAAGGCACAGACUCCAUCGUUUCACUCUUUCCCCCGAAAAUAACCGAAAGCGUUCCAAUAAAAAUGCAGCGAACAAUAACGAAAAGAGCUGAAACCCCAAU
ensembl:ncRNA lncRNA:CR44613 long non-coding RNA:CR44613